UACGUAGGGCGCAAGCGUUGUCCGGAAUUAUUGGGCGUAAAGGGCUCGUAGGCGGUUUGUCGCGUCGGGAGUGAAAACUCAGGGCUUAACCCUGAGCCUGCUUCCGAUACGGGCAGACUAGAGGUAUGCAGGGGAGAACGGAAUUCCUGGUGUAGCGGUGAAAUGCGCAGAUAUCAGGAGGAACACCGGUGGCGAAGGCGGCUUUCUGGCCAUCAACUGACGCUGAGACGCGAAAGCGUGGGGAGCAAACAGG
rnacentral:rRNA from 1 species